AUGCUCUGUUAUACAGAUAGCUAGAAUCUCAGCUGUCAUAAAGCAGGACAGGACUGCUGCUUACAAUGGGGAUCAGAUAGGAUCUGUGCAGCCACUGGGACAGAAUGCUCUGUUAUACAGAUUGCUAGAAUCAUUCAGCCAUAAAGUAGGCCCCUUUCCCACCUGCUUAUAUAUGUAUGCUUUUACCCAACACUUUUGAAAAUGAUAUAUUGCAUUAAAGCACUUGCUCCUCUUAUCUCUAAGAAUAUUAUUCCUGGGGGUAAUUCCAGUACAGUCCAGUGCCAGCUGUAUGCCUGUCUCCCAUGGAACAGUGCCUGGCCUGGAAUUGAACAGAGUUGUUCCUAUGGGAAUACAGAAGACGGGCACACUCCUGCAGUACAAGAAGCACGAUGCUAUUAAAAUAAGAUUUGAAGCAGAAACGGAUCUGGCUGAUCCACAAAACCUUCCCUCAGUUCCAGCCCUGCAUUGGAAUGUUAUUAAAGAGUCCCCUCAACGUCUAGUAUUCAUGGUGGGAGCAGCAAUGUACACGCAAAUUUUUUUGUAGCUUGUUGGAAUCAUUCAGAAGUGUCGGCAGUCGCACAAAUCACAGUGUAUUUAUUUCCUGGUGAUCUCCAUCCAGGGAUGCAGAAGUGAAUGGACACGUGGGGCAGGAGCCUUGCACAAGGAGUCGACUGAUAGAUAAGUGGAGAAAUAAAAACACCACUCUUACUGUAUAUACACAAGUUUAGAUGUGACCCAACUGCGACUCUACAUUUUUGCAUGUGCUUUUCUUUUUUGCAUGUUUCAGAGAGAAUCCCUGCCACUCUCAGAUGUGCCACUGAUAUACCAACAGAUAUACAUUUAUAAUACACAAAGCCACGAAUAUCUUGUAAAUUAUAUCCUUACAAAUGGUGACUUCUGAUGUCAUCAGUUAUAAACGCUUUUGCCGCAAGUGAAACUUCGUUUUCAAGAGUCUGUCCUGCUGCACCUUAGGAAUUGCGAUAGGUGACUUGAUAGACUGUAAGCUUAUGGGCAGUCACCUUUACUCCUUGUAUGUGAAGCUUCUUCAUUUUUUUCUGUAUCUUUGUGCCAAUACAAUUUUGUACUGUUUCAUGGCUUCAUGAUUUACAGUAUUCACACCUUCCAUGUAAAACAAAAUAAAAUAUGCCAUGAAACAGA